rnacentral:misc_RNA from 1 species
UCGAACCCUGCAAAGGGGAGACUACCCGCGAAGAGGUACCCAAAUAUGGGAGUUGGGGAUAUUGGCUUUGGUCUCUGUCCCUUGGCACCCUUCGGCAUGUGUUUGUGGUGCCCCGAUCGGGGUGCCAUGUAUGUCAUGUUUGCACAUUAACAAACCCCGCACGGACUGUGCCAAGGAAAAUAUUAAAUGAGAAGGACGCGUCCAAUAUCGCCCCGUUCGCGGUGUGCUUGUCGCCGUGUCCUCCUUGAAAUCA